UAUUUCUUACAAUAAUUUUUCUGAGAGCUCUGAGCCAACUACUUGCCGAGAAACCCUAAACCUGUUUGAAAGCUUUUCUGCACAAAGAAAC